rnacentral:rRNA from 1 species
AGCAGCCGCGGUAAUUCCAGCUCCAAUAGCGUAUAUUAAAGUUGUUGCAGUUAAAAAGCUCGUAGUUGAAUUUCGGGGUUAGCAGGUCGGUCGUGCCAUCGGUAUGAACUGGUCCCGCUGAUCCCUCCCUCUUGACGAACUGUGAUGCCAUUAAUUUGGUGUCGCAGGGAAUUAGGACUGUUACUUUGAAAAAAUUAGAGUGUUUAAAGCAGGCUCACGCUUGAAUACAUUAGCAUGGAAUAAUGAAAUAGGACGCUUAAUCCUAUUUUGUUGGUUUCUAGGAUUGACGUAAUGAUUAAUAGGGAUAGUUGGGGGCAUUAGUAUUCAAUUGUCAGAGGUGAAAUUCUUGGAUUUAUUGAAGACUAACUACUGCGAAAGCAUUUGCCAAGGAUGUUUUCAUUAAUCAAGAACGAAAGUUAGGGGAUCGAAGACGAUCAGAUACCGUCGUAGUCUUAACCAUAAACUAUGCCGACUAGGGAUCGGAUGAUGUUAAUUUUUUAAUGACUCA